rnacentral:rRNA from 1 species
UACGUAGGGGGCAAGCGUUGUCCGGAGUUACUGGGCGUAAAGCGUCCGCAGGCGGUUGGUCAAGUUGCUUCUGACAGUGCUCGGCUUAACUGAGCAAGGCGAGGCAAAACUGGCCAACUUGAGGGCUUCAGAGGGACACGGAAUUCCGGGUGGAGUGGUGAAAUGCGUAGAGAUCCGGAGGAACACCAAAGGCGAAGGCAGUGUCCUGGGGAGUACCUGACGCUCAGGGACGAAAGCUAGGGGAGCGAAC